AGACCCUUUAAAAAAAACAUAAAGAAAUAACAUAGGAAUUCAAAAAUAUACUAAAAUAUAAAUCUUAAUAAAAUAUUAAAAUAGAUACUUUCAUUAAAUCCUAGUCAAAUCUUAAUCAAAUUCUAAUCAAAUCCUAGUCAACUCUAAAUAAAUCCUAAUCAAAUCCUAAAUACAUCUUAAUCAAAUCCUAACCAAAUCUUAGUUAAAUCUUGAAUAAAUUGUAACCAAAAUCUAAUAAAAUCCUAAACAAAAUCUAUUCAAUUCCUAACCAAAUCCUAACCAAAUUCUAAUCAAAUCUUAACCAAAUCCAAAUCAAAUUCUAAAUAAAAUCUAAUCAAAUCCUAACCAAAACCUAACCAAGUCCUAAUCAAAUCUUAACCAAAUCAUAACCAAAUCCUAACCAAAUCCUAAUCAACUUUAAAUAAAUCUUAGUCAAAUCCUAAAUAAAUUCUAACCAAAUAUUAUUCAAACUCUAAAAAAUCCUAAAUAAAUCCUAAAUAAAUCCUAAAUAAACCUAAACAAAUUUUAACCAAAUCCUACUUAAAUCCUA
rnacentral:lncRNA from 1 species